GACGAACGCUGGCGGCGUGCUUAACACAUGUAAGUCGAACGGAAAGGCCCUGCUUUUGUGGGGUGCUCGAGUGGCGAACGGGUGAGUAACACGUGAGUAACCUGCCCUUGACUUUGGGAUAACUUCAGGAAACUGGGGCUAAUACCGGAUAGGAGCUCCUGCUGCAUGGUGGGGGUUGGAAAGUUUCGGCGGUUGGGGAUGGACUCGCGGCUUAUCAGCUUGUUGGUGGGGUAGUGGCUUACCAAGGCUUUGACGGGUAGCCGGCCUGAGAGGGUGACCGGCCACAUUGGGACUGAGAUACGGCCCAGACUCCUACGGGAGGCAGCAGUGGGGAAUAUUGCACAAUGGGCGGAAGCCUGAUGCAGCAACGCCGCGUGCGGGAUGACGGCCUUCGGGUUGUAAACCGCUUUCGCCUGUGACGAAGCGUGAGUGACGGUAAUGGGUAAAGAAGCAACGGCUAACUACGUG
rnacentral:rRNA from 1 species